GGCUGCAGGGAGAAUAAACAGCAACAGAGAGAGAACCUGGCCAGAUGAAAAAAGAUCCCUCAGAAACUUCUGAUUCAGCCGGGACCAACAACACCUUAAACCCUCUGUUUAUCCUCCAGAGAUGAAACAUUAUCACUUAUUCCAGGGCAGCCAGGGGAAGGCAGAGGAGCUUGCACAGAAGAAACCGGCCAGAGAAACCAACGCUCAAGGCCAGCUUCUCCUUGCCCACUUCCCCAGAGCUCCACUUGUAGGCACAAGUCACAGCAGCCACCCAGCUUCGCUGACUCCACCUCAGCCCCACCGGGACGCAGAGGAAGCGGCCAAACCCAGAAGAGGGGCUGCAGCCUCACCCUACUCCGGCUCCCACGCAAGCCCUAAGGACACCAGCUACACCUGAGGCUCUGCUUACCGACCUCCUUCCUCACCCACAGCCCCAGCGCGUUCCGACGGCCAAGGAACUGCGUCCUUCCUGUGCAGGAAGGCACCACACUAAAAUAAAAGCUCGCGAUCAAGUAACCUUUCCAUUUUAGAUACUGCUGGGAUUUGUCAGGAUCACAAGGUAAUUUUUAAGGAUAUUCUCACUGAUACUUUGUGAGCGCAGAGGUGAAAGUGUCAAAAAAGCGGAUAAAGUGGCUAUUGCUGGAAACCUGCAGUAAUUUGUUCCACCAGUGAAGUUUAUUUCACUGGAAAGUUUGUGUGUCUCUGAAUAUCCCAAUAUAAGUAUCGUAUUGUUAUGACAUUACUUUGUUGUCAAGUAUAGAGCCUGUUAAGGACAUGAGACAGUCACCUGAUAAUACUGCUGCAUUUGAGAGAAUUUUCUCUAUUGAGCUGAAUGCUUCUAUGUUACUUUACACAGCAUUCUUCUUUAGAAAAGAUAUUACUUGUGGUUGAUAUCCUAAUAUGGUCUACAAAUAGACUCUCUUUUUUUUUUCUUGUUAAAUUGAUAAGAGUAUGAUAUGUUUUACAUUAGAGGAUUAAGCAAGGUAAUUUCAAAAUAAGCAUACAUUAUAUCCCAUAAUGUUCUGGUAACUCUAUUAUAUUUUAUCUUUUCAGUGAACAGCAACGUAUACUUAGGAUCUGUCAAAAUAGUCAGAGAUUAACUUUUUAUAAAAGACUAUUUGAUAGAAGUUAUUAUGUCAGUAGUAACAAUUUGCUGAUCAACAGAUUAAUAGGUUAAUUAAUAUUCAACCAGA